rnacentral:rRNA from 1 species
GACAGAGGGUGCAAACGUUGUUCGGAAUUACUGGGCGUAAAGCGUGUGUAGGCGGCCUUAUAAGUCGGAUGUGAAAGCCCUGGGCUCAACCCGGGAAGUGCACUCGAUACUGUGAGGCUCGAGUAUCGGAGAGGUUGGUGGAAUUCUCGGUGUAGAGGUGAAAUUCGUAGAUAUCGAGAGGAACACCGGUGGCGAAAGCGGCCAACUGGACGAAUACUGACGCUGAGACACGAAAGCGUGGGGAGCAAACAGG